CAUAAAAUUGUUGUAUAUUUUUAUUUACUUAGCACAUUUCACAUAUUCUAUUUUUAAUCUAGUUAAAAAACUAUUGGAUGAAGAUUGUUUCCCUUGACUUAACUUGUUUUUGAAGUGGCCUCUUGACCUUGGUGAUAACACGGCUCCUUGUUUAUAAAUCAUAUUCUCAGAUAUUUUAGAAUUGUUUGAUGGUGAAGCUAGAAUAUGAAGGCAUGGGAUAGGAUUCUCUGAUGGGUCUGAAGAGGGAUUUAAGUGAAUUAAUUAUCUCAAGGCAGUCUGGCAAUGGAGUUGUCUGCCCUUGACAGAUAUUAGAACCUGUUUAUAUGCUAUGCAUUAUGAGCUGAGAAGAACAAACUAAAGAUGCUUGCCAAAACACAAAAUUUUAACAAAUAAAGGAAACAUAUUCUGAUCCAGCAAAGAUGUGCACAAAGUUCUACCAAAAUAUGUAAAAUUUAACAGACAUUACUUCAAAAUUGUCCUCACAGCACAAUGUGGUGUUGAUUUUAUGGAAACCGUUUGAAGUUGUGUUGCAUGCUGGGAGUUGGUACCAGUAAACUAUUUCAUACCUAUGAUCAAACCCAUUUGGUACCCCUAUGGGUCAACUGCAUAAACCAUGUUGUGCCUUGUUGAGUAACUGUGUAUAUUACAGAAUGGUACGAUUAAGUAUUGCUGUUAAGAUGAAAAGAAAGAUUUCGGAAUCACAAGAAAAAAUGAGAACUGUUUCCUGAUUAAUUGACCGAAGAGUGUAAAUGGUGAAAAGUGCAUGUAGGGGAGAUCAUUCUGACAUGAGUUAACAGUAGAAAGAAAUGGUUUCAACAUGAAUAACAGUGUCAUGAUUACAAUACAAAUACUGGAUUUUUCUGAUUAUGACCUCUUUCAAGAUAUAUAAGGAAUCCGACUGCA